AGAGACCCUGUAGGACAGAAUAGCACUGCCCCAUAGAGUUUCCAAGGUGUAGGUGGUGGAUUCAAACUGCUCUUCUUUUGCUUGGCUACCGUAUCACUUAACCACUGUGCCACGAGGGCUCCAGAACAUUAGCUACUUAACUAAUAAAAAUGGUCUACCUUGAGCAUAUGCUCUUUUAAGAACUGUCUAUAUGGCAUCAGAUUGACAACAGCUACUGAAAAGAUUAGAUAGGAACCUUAAGGAGCAGUGGGUUUAUGCUAAUGACAGAGGAACUACUCAGAAAAGGAGGGUAAGAAUGGUUGCACAACUUGAAUGUAACCAGUGUCGUUAAAUUGUACAGGUAGAAACUGUUGAGUUGGUGUAUGUUUUGCUGCAUAUAUUCUCAACCACAAAAAAUACAUUUACAGGUAAUAAUUAACAAAAAAUGUCAAGGAGAGCUAAAUAUUUUGAAAAUAAGACAGAGUUGCAUGUGAGGGAAUGAGUGGGGUGAGCUGUUUUAGAUUAAUAGUUAGUAAAGGCUUAUGGGAUCAGGAUAUUUGAGGAGAUAACUGACCUAUAUCAAAGGAGAGAAUAGCUGUAUGAAGUUCUGGAGGGAGGAUAUUGCCAAUAAAGGAAAGAGUUGUUUCUGAGGCCCUUAAAUAACCAAGUGUUCUGGCAUGUUUUGAGGAAGCUCAGGAAAUAAGUCAUGGCUAGUGUGGAGUGAACCGAGGGAAGACUGUUAGGAAAUGAGGUUAGUAUGGUGGGCAAGCCCCGCAUCAUGAAAGACCAUGGGAAGGAUUUGGGAAUUUUUCCUAAUUGCCAUGAGAAGCCACUGACGUGAUGCUGUUAUGUAGACUGUAAGAGGGAAGAUCGGUGGCAUGGAGUCCAGUUUUAACCAAGAGAUGAUGGUGGCUGUAAGGUGGAGGUAGUGAGAAGUGGAUAGAGUCAGGAUUUAUUUUAAGGUAGCGCCAAGAGUCCAGAAUAUGUGUCAAUGGAUUGGAUACAAGAUUUGAAUAAAGGAGAGAAAUCAAGGAUGAUUUCUAGGUUUUUGUCCUGAACAACCCAGACGAUAGUGAGAACAUUUGCUGAGAUAAGGAAGACUGGGAGGUAGAUAAGACACUUGGACGAAGAAUUUUAUUUGAACCACAUUAAGUUUGAGAUGCCUAGUAGACAUUCAAGGGGAGAUGUGAGGUCAGCCAUUUGUGAAGGAACAACAGGGCAGAGUAUGUAAAAUGAGGGUAUCCUAGGGCUCAGGUGGAAUUGACUGCCAUGAAUUGGCUCAGAUAACCUAGAUAGUGAGAAGUAAUGAAUGAUGUUACUUAAACAGGGCAUGGAAAUCAAUGAAAAAGGUGUGGGAGUGGCAGGGAGGCUAAGGUAGAGAAGUUUCUCUCUCCCUAAACCUGAUUAGCUGGAUUUGAAGACAUCAUAAGUUCCUGUACGAGAAAUAUCCAGCAAAUUACCAGUUGAUUUAAUAAAUUGAUAACAAAGUCUACCUUUCAGCCAAAGAUUGAAAAACAAACAAACCAAUUGCCAUCCAGUGAAUUCUGACUCUUAGCAACCCUCUAGGACGGAGUAGAACUACCCCAUACGGUUUCUAAGGAGCAGCUGUUGGAUUCAAACAGCAGACCUUUUGGUUAGCAGCUGAGCUCUUAACCACUGCACCACCAGGCUCAAACCAAGAAUAACACACAUGAGGAACUUACUCCUUAGUUCAAUCAAGUAUGUAGAAAUUCAAAUUUGUGAUUUUGGAGAUUCCCCCUCUUUUUUUUCAAAGUGGGGGGCAUUGAGAUGGAGGAUUUUCCCAUGCCCACCAUCCUAAGGGAUUUAAUUAACCCAUAGUUGAGACAUUGUACACAUCUCAAGAAAUUAUUACCUUUGAGAAACUUGAGGGUGAGUAGGCAUAUCACCUGGCUCCUCUUAAACUCCUUUUAAAAACCUGACUUGAAGACUCACCUGCCUUUUUGAAUAAGUGCCAGCUUGAAUAGGCAGGGUUCAGGGAAUUGCCAACCAAAGGUAUGGUUUCUCCAGAGGCCUCCAAGGGGUGUAAAAGAAGAGUGGAGCCAGACCCCGUGCUUGGGACACACCCUUGGUAGGAAAUAUUUGAGUGUGUGUGUGGUGAGGGGAGCACUCGGUGUGGGAGAGUGGGGUGGGUGGGUAAUAGGGAAAUGCCUGUUUUUUUUGUUUUUUUUCUGGUUUUAAGAAACAGUUUUUUACUUUUUUUUUUUUUAAUUACAACGAACAGUUCAGUGGAGACAUGUUCCUUAUCUGCACGGGCUAGUGGAAUUGCUGAUAGCUGAGAAUGUAGCCUGCUCCCCAAGUGCGAGUUGGCAUUUUGGAGAGAAAUCUUGAUGUUUGGAGCACUGACUGGCCCUGCCUUUUCUAAAUAAUUAAGGGUGGUGGGGUGGUGGUAAGAGAAAGAGGAUGGUCUAUGAACACUGACCCUGGAAAAUUAACUCCCAAGUGUGUGGGUUGUGGAUAACAGGAAAAGAACAUCACCCGCAAAUGACAGCAGCGCCUUUAUUUAUUUAUUUAUGUUUCUUUUUAGUUCUGAGUUGUUUUUAAGCCACAAAUUAAUGGGGCCACCAUGAGUUUUCAGAGAAUGAGUUUUACAAAAAUCUAAGUGUUUUAAAUAUUGCAAGGAUUUACUUAUAUAUGCUGUAUAUGAGAAAAGUCCUUACAGUUACAGGGAGGAGAAAGAAAGUAUAUUCAGGAAUUAAAUUUUCACAGUUCUCUGAAUUCUUAUAUUUCUCUUGUUGUCCAUUUUUCUUUUUUUGUCCUUCAUCCACCUCUUCCACCUUUACCCACUGUCUUCAUCAUCUAGUGCUGCCAUAACAGAAAUACCAUGAGUGGAUGGCUUUAACCAAGAGAAAUUUAAUACCUCACAUUAAAGUAGGCGAAUAGUCCAAGGCAUCAGCUCUAAGGGAAAGUUUUCUCUCUCUUUCGGCUCUGGAAGAAGGUCCUUGUCCUUAGCCUUCCCAUGGUCAAGGAGCUUCUCAGGUGCAGGGACCCUGGGUCCAGAGGACAUGCUCUGCUCCUGGUGCUGCUUUCUUGAUAGUCUGAGGACCCCAACUCUCCGCUUGCUUCCCUUUCCUUUUACCUCUUGCGAGAUAAAAGGUGGUGCAGGCCACACCUCAGGGAAAGGUGACCUGAGUGAGGGUGGUGUUACAAUCCCACCCUAAUCCUCUUACAGUAAAAUUACAAUCACAAAAUGAAGGACAACUAUGCAAUAGUGGGAAUCAUGGCCUAACCAAGUUGAGACACACAUUUUUUAGGGUCAUAAUUUAAUCCAAACCAAAUCAAACUUGUCACCAUCAAGUUGAUUCCAACCCAUACAGACCCUAGUUGAUAUUAACUCAUAGAGACCCUAUAGCAUAGAGUAGAACUACCUCAUAGAGUUUCCAAAGACUAGUUGGUGGAUUCGAACUGCUGACCUUUUGGUUAGCAGCUGAGCUCUUAACCACUAUGCCACCAGGCCUCCUCUUGAUACACAGUCCACCCUAAUACACCACUGUGUUAGAAAAAGGUUUUGCUAUUCUGAAAUAAGAACUUUUUACUAUACUUUUGUGUUCGUGGUUGCUUUUGAUAUGUCUUUAAGCACUGAACAGUUAACUCAUACCCAUUAAAAACCCAUUGCCACUGAGUCUAUUCCAACUCAUAGCGGCCCAAUAGGGCAGAGCGGAACUGUGCCAUAGACUUUCCAAGGAGCGCCUGGUGGAUUUGAACUGAUGACCUUUUGGUUAGCAGCUGUAGCUCUUAAACAGUACACCACCAGUGUGGGAGGGGUUUAAUUGAUAACAUGAUGUCUGGGCUCCAAGGGAGAUGGAAUGGAUGUGCAGGAGAAGGGCAUGCAGAGUCAGCCUGUAUAGUCCCCUGAACUCUGUUCAAGAUCAUAACACACCUCAGUAAUCACUUGAAUCUAAACAUACAACUUUAACAGUUGAUGUAAAUGACUUUACACAUGAAUUUUGGAACGCAACUAUUUCUCGAUGGAAGUUUCUUCAACUAAGCUGUUUGUAUUCCCUUAAUAAUUAUGAAAGCUAACAUUUAUUGUGUUCAUUCUGUGUGUAAGGCCUUUUUCUAAGUGCCUUGUGUGUUUUAUUUAACCUGCGUAACAACCUUUUGAAUAAGACCCAUUUUAGAAAUGGGAAACUGAGGCAGUGAGAGGUAAAGUAACGUGCCCAGAUCAACCAGCUGAUAGAUUGAGUUAGGAUUUAAACCCAGGCAGUUUGUUUCAGAAUUUGCUUAUGUAAUCACUGUACAUGACAGCAGUGAGCCCUAGUGGCUGUGUGGCUAAAGAACUUGGCUGCUAACUGAAAGGUCAGUGGUUCGAACCCACCAGCCUCUCUGCAGGAGACAGAUGUGGCAGCUUGCUUCAGUGAAGACUUACAGCCUUGGAAACCCUAUGUGGCAGUUUUACUCUGUCCUUUGGGGUCACUAUGAGUUAGAAUCGACUUGAUGACAGUGGGUUUUGGCACAUAAUACUAAUGUGCAGUGUAUUCUGUAUGCCGUGUAUAUGUUCAGAAGCUAAUUUUCCCAACAUUUAUGCCAUAUAUAGAUUACCAAUCCAGUUGCCGUUGAGGAGAUUUUCACUCAUGACGACCCCGUGAGUUUUCAGAGUAGGACUGCCCUCCAUACGGUUUUCAAUAGCUGUGACCAUUUGGAGGUAGAUUGCCAGGCCUUUCUUCCAAGGCAACUGAGUGGAUUUAAACUGCCAACCUUUCAGUUAGUAGCUGAGCACUUAACUCUUUGUGCCACCUAAUACAUAUAUAUACUAGGAGGUUUUCCUCCUUAUUUGUACUUUAAUGUUUUGUAGCCUCUUAUGAAUACUUGUUCCUGGCAGUGAACUAGAUGCUAAAGAACAGAAUAGGCACAUGUAACCCUCUCUCACCUUCUCCCUCCCCUCUUGCACAGAGAUGAAAUGAAAAGGAAUUAAUGAGGACAGAUUAUUGGAUUAGGGCCCACACUCAGGGCUCUAACAGCAUGGGGAGUUUCUCCUGUCACUUCAGUUCUUGUUCAGGAAUUGGCACCUGCUUUUUGUGAAUCACAAAGACCAGUGCUUUAUAUCAAGCCAUUUAGAUUUGGGGUAUGGAGCAGUGACUUAAAAAAAUUAAAUUUUAUUUUCAGAGAUUUUUUCUAUUAAUUGUUUACAUUUAUUUUAAUUGUAUAUUCUGAAACCGCUACAAAAAGGCAUGAAAUAAUUGUUUAAAUUUUAAUUCGUAUGGGUCAAAAUGUAUGUUAAACUACCUAUCGUCGCCUUCACAGUCGUUGUUAUGUUUGAGCCGAUUGUUGUGGCCACUUGUUACCAAGUAUGACUUUCUUCUCCAGGGACCGAUCUCUCCUGACAACAUGUCCAAAAUAUGUGAGAUGAAGCCUCGCCAUUCUUGCUUCUAAGGAAUAUUCUGGCUGUACUUCUUUCAAGACAGAUUUGUUCAUUCUUUUGGCAGUCCGUGGUAUAUUCAAUAUUCUUUGCAAAUACCGUAAUUCAGUGCCUUCAAUUUUUCUUUAGUCUUCCUUAUUCAUUGCCCACCUUUCGUGUGCGUAUGAGGUGACCGAAAACACCAUGGCUUGAGUCAGGGGCACAUUAGUUUUCAAGGUGACAUCUGUGCGUUUGAACACUUUAAAGAGGUCUCUGGCAGCAGAUUUGCCCAAUGCAACGUGUCGUUUGAUUUCUUGACUGCUGCUUCCAUGGGUGUUUAUUGUGGAUCCAAGUAAAAUGAAGCCCUUAGUGAUGUCAACAUUUUCUCCGUUGUCCUGAUGUUGCUUAUUGGUCCUGUUGUUAGGCUGUUGGUCUGUAGUCUUUGAUUUUCUUCAGUAAAUGCUUUAAGGCCUCUUCACUUUCAACAAGCGAGAUUGUAUCAUCUGCAUAUCUCAGGUUAUUAAUGAGUCUUCCUCCAAUCCUGACGCCUUAUUCUUCUUCAGACAGUCCAGCUUCUCGGAUUAUUUGCUCAGCAUACAGGUCGAAUAGGUAUGGUGAAAGGAUACAAUGGAGAUGCACACCUUUCUUGACUUUAAACCAUGCAGUAUUCCUUGUUCUGUUUAGAUGACUGCCUCUUUUUCUGUGUACACGUUUCUCCUGAGAACAAUUAAGUGUCCUGGAAAUCUCAUUCUUCCCCAUGUUAUCCAUAAUUUGUUAUGAGCUGGAGUAGGUCUCAGAAAUAAUGUGCCAUUUCUUCCAGUUGGUCCUGCACGGCUGCCUGCUUCCCUAGGUGGUAGCAAGUAAGGCCUGUCUCAGAAACACUCCCCUCCUCACUAAGCAUGAUUCUUCACACUGCUCCAUCUUCUUUCCCGUGUGUGUUUCCUGCCCUCCUCAGUGGCUGGGGAAAAUGAUAGUAGUCCACUAUGAGAUUUAUUCUUUUAUUAUACUUUAUUUUAUCAUUUGUUUUUAUAACAUAGUUCCGUUAAAAUCAAGGGUAAUAAAAAUGUUUGUGUGAUGGAAGUGGAUAAUCCCACCCAUUGUGUCCAUCUAAAGUUUCAUGAGAAAACUGUGCCCACAACAGAGGGCUCCCACUCCUCUGGCUCACUGUAUUUUCUCCUUGUUUAUUUGCUCUUCCCUCUUUCCUGAUGCAUGCAUGGGACCACUGAGCUUCAGGACUCCACAAUUCUGCUUUUCAUACCAGUGUUACUGUAAUCUUGGGUUCAUGGGCUGCCUUGCCACAGAUUUACUCAUUCUGUUUCUGUUGAUUAUUUCAUUACUUAAAAAUCUCUCAUGAAUUUUUCCAGAAGUACAUUCUAUUCCUCAAAAACUUGGAAGCAAUGGGAAAGUAUGCAAUAAAUAACAAGAAAACAUACGUAAUGCAUAGAAUAAAUUACUAACGUUCCGAUAUGUCUGUUAUCUUACUUACAUUGGCAUGUAUGUGUGUUAGAGUCUCUGGUUGGUGCAAAUGGUUAAUAUCUUGAGCUGCUGACAGAAAGUUGGAGUUCAGGUCCACCCAGAAUUGCUAUGAAAGAGAGGUCUGGCAGUCUACUUCCGAAAACUCAGCCAUUGAAACCCCUAUGGAGUACAGUUCUACUCUGGCACGCUGGUGUCAUCAUGAAUCAGAACUGACUCAAUGGCAACUGGUUUUAUGUGUGUAUUAGCACACACAUUUAUGUAUAUUAACACGGAUAUUAUAUCCUGAUAUUUUCAUUCAUCAUUAGUCUUUUCUCAUGAUAAUUUUUUUUGUUUUUUUUAAUGAGAGCAUUAAAUUACUUUAUAAUAUUCUGUGUGCAUGUAGUAUAUUUUUUUUAACAAUUUGAACUAUAGUUGCAAUAAUAAAUGUGCAUGUUUCUAGUAAUCUUCAACGUAUACUUACAUCUUUUUAACAUACAUCUCUGCCAUUAAAUCUCUUUGUUUAAUUAUUGUUUAACACUCUUUACGCCUAAGAGAUGGUCUCAGAAGCAGCCCUGAUCAGUUUUUCUCCCUCUUACUCAUGAAGCUCCUUAAUGUAUCCCAAGGUAUCAACUACGAAGGAUUUUACGUACUUAUCGUUUAUUUUUCAUUCAGUCAGUAUAUUCCAUGGGCCAGAAGUAGUCUAUGUUAUGCAGAUACAGUGGUGAAAGGUACACACUGCCCCUGUCCUCAUGAAGGGGACAACCCAGUGCAGGUGGGAGGGGCACUGGGGAAAUGCAGCUGAGAGCAAGGACAGACAACCCUCCAGGAACCACACUGGACUUCAGAGAGGCUUGUUGGCUGCUGUUCACCUGGCAGGCUUCUAGAUACCCGAGUACCCUUGGGCUUGGUGCCUGUUCCUCUCUCUAUUGACACCCUCUCUCUAGGAUGCCUCAGUGAGUUUACUGCUGUCUAUUUGUAGCUAAGGACGUGAGGUUUAUACCUCCAUCCAUUCAAACUCCUCCUGGGUCCAGACUCAUAUAUUCAAAUGUGAGCCUAGCUCUCUGUAUUGACCUCUUUAGGCAUUAUAAUGAUACAUUCCUCAUAUGGCCAUCAUGAAAAGCAAACAUGAAAGAAAAAGCACAGGAGUGCCUGGCACCAGUGUAGGUACUCAAUGAACAUUAGCUGUUGGUAUUAUCCUUGACAUCCCCAUGUGGGGUGAAGUUUUAUUACCUGACAUCUCCAUGUGAAUAUCUAACACCUGUACCAUGUUAUCUAGGCUAUGAAACAAUUCUUGGUUCCAACCACCAUUCUUUUCUUAUCCAUGAAUUUCUCAAGGCUUUGGUGAUGGGAUUGUGUGUUUUUCCACACAAUGGACUUGAUUAGGAAUGGUUGGCCAGGUCCUACACAAUAAAUUGCUCUAGCAUUCCUUUGGGUGACCAUUGAGACAAGUUUCAGCCAACGAAUGUAGCAAAGAAUUGGAACCACUCUCAGCUGUUCAUGCGAGUACUCUCAAUCCAGAAUAUCUGGUAAGUCGACUGUUAGGGAUUGAAUUGUGUCCCUCCAAAAUGUCUGUGGAAAUCCUAACCCCUGUACCUGUAAAUCUGACCUUGUUAGGAAAGAGGGGGCCUGCUUUUAUUAUGUGAAUGAGGUCAUACCAAUGUAGGGUGGGUCCUAAGCCUAACUCUUCUUAGUUAUAAAAGGAGCAGAAUACACACAGACUCAAACAGGUGAAAAGGAAGACAGACAAAGAAGACAGAUGCUUCUAGAAGGCCAGGAACACAAAUGAUUGCUGGCAUCUACUAGAAGCUGAGGUAGACAAGGAAGGACCUCCCACUACAGCCAUGCCCUGAAUUCGAACGACCACCUGCUAAACUGUGAGAAAAUAAAUUUCUGUUCUUUAAAGCCAUCCAGUUGUGUUAUUUUUUGUUAUGGAGGGACUAGGUAACUAACACACAUAAGACCCGUUCUUAUAAGUUCAGCCCAGUGCAGAAUAAUUUUCUUCCCUCCUUGGUCUAGACCACCCGAACCUGCUCUUUCCCUAUCAGUGUCCUUUGCUUUCACCUAAGAGCUAUGACAGAGUCAGCUUGAUGCUGAUGCAUUGAAAUUUCAAUUUAUUUUUUAUUUAUGAUUACUAUUAAUUCCGGUAUUUUCUACAGUUUUCAAUGGAGACAGUCCUAUAAUCUAUGAAUAGCAGUUAUACUUUUUCUCUUUUUGUACUAGCUUACACUUCCGGUGUUCAAUGUUUAAUAAAAGUAAUGAUAGAAGCACCCUUAUUUUAUUGUUUAUUAAUUUUAAAGAGAAUGUCCCACACGUCACCAUGAACUAUCAUGCUAGUUGUAGUUUUCCACGUUCGGGAACUCCUUUUCUGUUCCAUAUUUGCUCCUAGUCCUUAUCUCUCCAUGUGAUUGGAUUUUAUCAACCUGCUUUGCCCCCAUCUCUUGAGGUGAGCAUAUGUCUUCUCUUCUUUCACCUAUGCAUGUGGUGAAUGAAAUUACUAAAUCUUUAACGUUCACUCAAAUUUGUAUGCCUACAUGAUCAUGGCAUGUUACGUGGUUUAUACUUUGCUGGAUUUCCUUUGCUGGCAUCUUACGUAGAGUUUUGCAUCUCAGUUACUGAGUGUGCUUGUCCUCUAACUCUUCUUCUACCAUCCUUCUCUAAUUUGUUAUCAUUUUUAAACUAGCCUUAAGGAUCAAGUUAGGGGAGUAUCUCAUGGUUUUCUAAUCUCUGUUGACUAUGUACAAGAUUAAAAUGACUGUUUCUUGCAUGUUUGCUGGAACCUGACUGGAAACGAUCUAGGUCUGCCGUUUUCUUUUUAGGGAGAUCUUGAACUACUGACCCAUUUUAUUUAGUGGUUAAAGGCAUCUUCUGGUGCUAAUUUACUUAGAAAAAAUUCUGAUGCAUGUUCUAGGUUGCUCGAAUCUCAUCUUCAAAUAUUGAUUAUCAGGGCUUGUAGCCUCAUGCAAGGCAAUUCAUCAAUCCCAGAUUUCCCCAAAGUCAGGCUCUGCAACUCUUCCCGGUACCAAAUUCCCUCAUUUAAGACUUAUUUGCAAAGAGACAACAGUAUGCUAUCUACGCGGUUGUUUAUCCGCAACUUUCUUGAGUCCAUAAUGUGAGGAUACAGUCUUCUAAUACUUUUUUUGUAAUUGUUCUCUUUCUUAUUUUUUUUUUUUUUGCUUUUUUCACUGCCAAUAACCUCCCCCCCCCCGUCUAGUAGUUUUAAAGUUGUGCGUUUCAGGUUCAAGUCUGUAAUCCAACUGAGCUUCUGUGUGUGCUGCAUGUGUACAUCAAAAGAACACGCUUCUAGAAGCAGAAAGCAGGCAGUGCGACUGUUGGGUGGUUGGCGGGGGAGGGGGAGGGGAGCUGCUGCUCAGAGAGGGCUCCCAAGGGAGGCACGAGAUGCCGGGCUGCCCACUGCAAGCCCACAGGCUCCAAGGAGGAGGAACCUGAGUGCGCCAUGAGCCUUUUGAGACAGGCCCAAGCCCACCCAGCCGGGUGCUAACCUCGCAUCCGCCAGGCUUGCAGGUUCCACCAGGACUAGGGAAGCCUAAGGCCAAGGAGGGCAAGGUCUAGGGUCUGGACCUGAGAACUGGUUCUGCCACUUGUGAUCGCAGCGCUUAUGCUGGAAAGGAGGGCAGAAAGCAUAUCGCAACGUGUGUCCGGACGAUGACCCAGAACGGGGGAGUUGUGGUCACCCACGGACUCUGGGUCUGCAUAUGGAGGCCCCCAGGGUGCAAUUCCAGGAGCAGAAGGCAAAGCCACAGAGGCCAAAGUGCACCUCGCCGAUGCUUCCCAGGGGCAUUGCCCCAAAUAUGGGGAGCAGUCCCUCCUCUGGGCUAGGGACUUUGUUUCCUCCAUUGUCAUCACUGACUGUGAGCAGACUCUAGUCUAUGCAGACUAAUGAGGAGUUAUCAAAAUGAGCUCCAAACUCCAGAUUUGAGUUAAGGAUCAUAAAUUAACACAGAGAAAUACGACUUUAGCAAUAUGUGACUGUUUGAAGCCCAAGUUGCCUUAAAACACGGAAUUUCAGUCUUUCAGCUCCUCUGCUAAUCUAGUGACUAAGAACAGGAUCUCACUGGAGCUCAAAGAUGUGGGGCACUGGGAAUACUCUGGGUCUGUCUGCUCACGGCUGAUUGCCUGAUCCCAGUUUUAUUAUACAGCUUAAAUACAGACCAGAAGAGGAGUUUGGGGCUUGACACCUGACGUCUUAACACCAGUUCCUGUUUCUUGAGGAAGGAAGAGGUAAAAUAAAUCAGCGUUUACUGUGUCCUUCUCCAUCCCCGGAAGUCUUCAUGAAGACCCUCUCAGCUUCUACUUGAACGUGAAUAUGAGCAACUGAUCAUCUGUUCUGCGGUCAGCCCCUGGCCUGAUUCUGACUCAUGAUAUUGACCUUCUCCAUCAUCACCUUCCACAAAUUUGAUUCCUAUCUAUUCUGCCUGGAAUAGUUCAUGAGUAUAGUCACCAUUUAUGUUCCUGACGAAAGACAUUAUGCUCAUUCUCAGGGCCCUGAGACCUCAUCUGCAGCAGGUGAAGGCAUUCGUGGAGAGAGGCGGUUUCCGUGCGUGCAGGCAAAGUGUGUGCUGAGAUGAGUCGCUGGAGACUGGGGUGGACUCCUCAGACCCAGGAUAGGCCUCUGGCAGGUAUAUGUCAAUGUUUUCUGCCCAUGGCACUCACCCGGAUAUUUGCAUACAAUGUUAUCAGUGGAAUUAGUAGUCUCCAGAGAGGCUGCCACAUGUCAGCAAGCUUCACCUGGCCAGGUCCGCCCAGGAUGUAGCUCCCCAAUCAAUCACUACUCUCUAGACCUUCCAGAUAGACUAGCAGAUCUUCUCUGCCCAUGGGCAACCAGUAGAGCCAGAGGCCUUCUCUCUUUGCUCUUUCGUCUCUAGGCAUUCUAUCAGGCAUUUCAAGCUGUGAAGUGCCUGGGAGGAGAAGGAAGAGAUUUCAGAGAAUGAACACAUACAGAGAGACAGGCAAGAGACGGUGAGUGGGGAUGUCUUGCCUACUGAUAUCCUCAGGAAAGUGGGAAAAUUGGACCCUGGCCUGCUAUGACAAUGCCCUGAAGCAGUCCGCACCAGGGGCUCCCUUGUGCCUGCAUAGCCUUUCCCAGGGUGUGCUCAAAUCCUGUGGCCACUAGGUGUCCUGGGUCACAAUGGAGGGCUCUGUGUCAUCUGCCUGUUGGGCUGGAUCUCUGCCAUUGGCUGAGUCUUGUCACCAGGCCCAUCAUAAGCUCUGCCCACUCUUCCUGUGGGGGGACUGUCUCCAUGGUGAUGGCAAAGAAGCCUGAGUUCCGCCCACCUGGCCUUGACUUCACCUACCUGGCCUGCUGACCCUCACUCAGACCUCUGUGUUGAUCAAAAUGAGUGUCCGCCAGUGGCCAGGUGUCAGCAUCUGGGAUAAAGGAUUGGGGACCUUGCCUGGGGCAGAAGGCAGCCUAGGUCUGUGGGUACCUGGAAGUCUUGUGACUUCUGCCGCUGCUGCCAGUGACAGAUGGUGACUCCCACACUCACAUAUCCCCUGGUGGCAGAAGGAUAGUGAUGGGCGGAGAAACAUGGCUCCGGAGCACACUUUAAAUGCGGCACCAGCCAAAGGCCAGGGCAAGGAGUGGACGUCGUGGAGCUUAAUUGCAAGCCAGUGAAGGGCCCAAGGAUUUCUCCUAUAUGUGGCAAACAGGUCAUCCGUGUCCCCACGUCCAUAAACCACUGGACUGCAGUGCCAGACUGCCAGGAUUUCGGCCUUGCCAUUGGAGCCCGUCCACAUACGCUGCGUUGCACCGGAGGCGGGGACAUGUAGACAGCAAAAAUUUGGAAAAUGGCAUCAUCUCUUCAAUUUCCCUAGCAUUGGCCUUUUUCAGUGGCAUGCUUUGUUUCCUAGUAGGAUAAGGCACUGACGGAGAAAGGCAGGAGUAUGUGUGUAGGAAAGGUGUGUGCCGAAAGGGUGACGACGUUGAGACCACGUUGGGAUCUUUAGUCCCAGGAAAGGCCCCUGGCAGGUGUGGGUCAAUGUUCUCUGCUCAUCCGAGUUGGCGGGGGAGGUUUUCACCAAACAAAGCAGCAGUGGAAUUAUUCGUAGCCUGAGAGGUUGCAUCUGCCCACAAGCUCCACCUGGCCAGGGUCCGCCCCUACUGUAUUGCCCAUGUCAAUCAACAGAAGCUAAGACCUUCCAGAGAGACUACCUGCUAUUGUCUACCCACCGGGAAGCGGUCCAGCCAGAAGCCUCCCCCGUUUCAUCUCCAGGCUCUCUGUCAGGCCCCUCAUACUUGUGAUGUGUCUCAGGGGUAGAAGGAAGAGAUUUCUCUGAAUGAACACAUCCAGAGAGGAGCCAUAGAUGCUGAGGAAGGGCGCCUUGUCUACUGAUAUCCUAGCGUAAGUGUAAAAGAGGUACCUGCCUGCUGUCCCAGUGUGUCGAACGUGUCCACAUCAGGGGUUGGCUACUGUAAAAUUAUUCCCUGGUGCCCUCGAUUUUGUGGCCAAAGACACGAGGGGCCGUUGUGUGUCCAUGGGUACAAUGGAGGGCUCUGCGGAACGGGCUGGUUAGGCUGGACUUCUCCUAUUGGCUCAGUGUUUGUGACUCGUCCCCGUCAGAAGUUCCGCCCAGCCUUCUGGUGGCUGUCUCCAUGAGGAUUGGGAAAGAAGCCCUAGGCCCCGCACUCGGCCUUCACCUGGCCUACCUGGCCUCUUUACCCUCAUCUAGACCGCUCUGUGCAUGAAAGAAAGGAUGUCGGCCACUGACCAAGCAUCCUCAUUUCCUUGGAAGUAUUAGGCUCCUUGCGUGGGCAGAAGACAGCCAAGGUCAGCCUGAGCCUAGACACCUAGUGACCUGUGACACUGCAGCCAGCGAUAGAUGUUGAUGUCCACGCUCAGGUAUCCGCAGUUGACGGAUUCAGAGUGGUCAGAGGAGAAGUGUAACUAGAGAUCACACACUCAUGAGGGCACGGGCCAAAGGUCAGGGAAAAUAGCUGAGGUCGUGGAGCUCUAGCGGAGCCAGUCAAGGGCCCAGGCCUCCCUCCUGUACGUGGCAAAGAGGUGUCACCUUCCGCAGAGUAUGCUGCCACCCGCAGACUCUGGACUGCUGGGGCCCUGGAUGCCCGGAUUUCGGCCUUGUGUUUGGAGAAGUGACGUGCAUGCAGUGUGCCACCGGGGGCUGUGGCCCAGCAGAAGCAAAAUCUUGAAAAUGGGAGCUUCAGUUGACUUUGCGUGUUCUCUCCCUUGGCUGAGUGCCAUCCUGUGUUUCCUAGCAGGAGAAGGCAUUCGUGGAGAAAGGCAGAUUCCAUGUGUGCAGGCAAAGUGUGUGCUGACAUGAUGAGACCCUGGAGACCAGGGUGGACUCUUCAGACCCAGGACAGGCCUCUGGCAGGUAUGUGUCAAUGUUUUCUGCCCGUGGCACUCAACCGGGUAUUUGCAUACAGUGUCAUCAGCAGAAUUAGUAGUCUCCGGAGAGGCUACCACAUGUCAGCAAGCUUCACCUGGCCAGAGUCCACCCGUGAUGUAGCUCCCCAAUCAGUCACUACUGUCUAGACCUUCCAGAUAGACUAGCAGAUCUUCUCUGCCCAUGGGCAACCAGUAGAGCCAGAGGCCUUCCCCCUUUGCUCUUUCGUCUCUAGGCACUCUAUCAGGCACUCCAAGCUGUGAAGUGACUCAGGGAGAGAAGGAAGAGAUUUCAGAGAAUGAACACAUACAGAGAGAGAGGCAAGAGAUGCUGAGUGGGGAUGUCUUGCGUACUGAUAUCCUCAGGAAAGUGGGAAAAUUGGACCCUGGCCUGCUCUGCCAAUGCCGUGAAGCAGUCCACUCCAGGGGCUCCCUUGUGCCUGCAUAGCCUUUCCCAGGGUGUGCUCAAAUCCUGUGGCCACUAGGUGUCCUAGGUCACAAUGGAGGACCCUGUGUCAUCUGCCUGGCGGACUGGAUCUCUGCCAUUGGCUGAGUCUUGUCACCAGGCCCAUCAUAAGCUCUGCCCACUCUUCCGGUGGGGGGACUCUCUCCAUGGUGAUGGCAAAGAAACCUUAGUCCUGCCCACCUGGCCUUCACUUCACGUACCUGGCCUGCUGACCCUCACUCAGACCUCUGUGUUGAUCAAAAUGAAUGUCCGCCAGUGGCCCGGUGUCAGCGUCUGGUAUAAAGGAUUCGGGACUGUGCCUGAGGCAGAAGGCAGCCUAGGUCUGCGGGUACCUGGAAGUCUAGUGACUUGUGACGCUGCUGCCAGUGACAAAUGGUGACUCCCACACUCACAUAUCCCCUGGUGGCAGAAGGAUAGUGAUGGGUGGAGAAACAUGGCUCCGGAGCACACGUUCAGUGGGGCACCGGCGAAAUGCCAGGGCCAGUAGUGGACGUCGUGGAGCUGUAUGGCGAGCCAGCGAAGGGCCUAAGGAUUUCUCCGAUGAGGCAAAAUGCAGAUCAAGCCAAGGAACACAAAGAUAAAGCAGCUGAAGAAAUUAAAAAGGUUACUCAAGAACAUAAUUAAAAAUUUAAUAAGCUGUAAGAAACCAUAGAGAGACUGCAAUCAGAGAUUGAGAAGAUUAACAAUAAAAUUACAGUUAGAAAACUCAAUAGAAAGUAAGAAGAGCACAAUUGAGGAAUUGGAAGGCAGAAUUACUGAGAUUGAAGAUCAAACUCUUGGGACUAAUAUAUUUGAUGAGAAAGCAGAUAAAAGAAUUUUAAAUGAAGAAAUCCAAAGAAUCAUGUGGGACUUUAUCAAGAGAAAUAACUAUGAGUGAUUUCAGUACCAGAACAGGGAGGGCUAACAGAAAAUACAGAGGGAACUGUUGAAGAUUUGUUGGCAGAAAACUUCCAUGAUAUCAUGAAAGAUGCUCAUCGAAUUCCACAUAAGGUAGAUCUCAAAAGAAAGUGACCGAGACACAUAAUAAUCAAACUUGCCAAAAUCAAAUAUAAAGAGAAUUUUAAGAGAGGCUAGGGAUAAAGGAAGUCACCAACAAAGGAGAGUAAAUAAUAAAAAACUUGGACUACUCAGCAGAAAUCAUGCAGGCAAGAAGGCAAAGGGAUGACUUACACAAAAUAUUGAAGGAAAAAAAUUGCCAGCCAGGAAUCAAACCAUAACCCUGGCCCUCUGGCCCUCUGGCCCUCUGGCCCUCUGGCCUUAGCCCUCUAACUCUAGCCCCUAAGCCCUGAGCCCCAAAGCCCCUAAGACCCUAAGCCCUUAGGUCCUAACCCCCAAGGCCCUAAACUCUAACCCUAACCCAAACCCUAACGCCUAUACCCUAAACUCUACAACCUAAACACCUACACCCCAAAACACUACACAUCAAAACCCUACACACUAAACCCUAUACUCUAAGCCUCAAACCCUAAACCCAAACCUCAAACCCCAAACCCUAAACCUAACCGUAAACCCUAAUACCUAACCCUAACCCCUAACCACCCUAACCCUAAUGACCCUAACUCUAACCCUCGAACCCUAACCCUCUAACGCUAACAUGAAACCCUAAUCCGAAACCUGAACCCUCUAACUCUAACCUCUAGCCCUAACCCUCUAACCCUAGCCCUAAUCCUAACCCUAACCUCCAAACCCAACCCCAAACCCUAAACCUCAAAUCCCUAGCCCUAAACCUAAGAAUGAGCCUAAGCCUAACCCUAUCACUUAACUCUAAACCCUAAACCAUAACACUUAAAACCCUAACACGCAAAACCCUAACACCCUUAGCCCUAACACAUUUAACCCUAACACCCUAAACGCCAAAACCCUAAACACUAACACCCUUAACCCCAACCCCUAACCCCUAAACCCUAAACUUAAACACUAAACCGUCAAACCCUCUAACCCUAAUACCCUAAACCCUAACCCCAGCCCCCAGCCUUAAAGCUCACUCUAAGCCUUAAACCUUAAGCCCUAAACCCUAGGCUCUAAGCCCUAAGCCCUAAACUCUAAAUCCUAAAACCCUAAACUCUAAGCCCUAAGCCUAACCCUCUAAUCCUAAACCCCAAAACCUUACCCCAAACCCCUAAACCUUAAGCCCUAGCCCUAACCCCUAACCCUAAUCCUCUAAGCCUAACCCUCUAACCCUAACUCUCUAACCCUAACCACAACACCAACCCCAACCUCUGAACCCUGAAACCCUAACCCCCUAACCCCAAGCUUCUGAACCCUAAGCCUAAACCCUCUAACCCUAAACCCUAACCUUCACCCCCUCACACCCUCACCUUCUCACUCCCUCACUCUAUAAUCUUCUCACCUCUAACCCCCUCACCCUCUAACCCCUGACCCUCUAACUCCCUCAAUCUCUAACCCCCAACCCUCUAGACCCCAACCCUCUAACACCCACCCUCUAACCCCAAACCACAUAUCCCAAACAAACCCAACACCAACCCCAACCCUAAACCUAACCUCUAACCCCUAAAACCUAACCCAAACCCUAACGACUAAACCCCAAAACCCUAAACCCCAAACUGCAACCCCUAACACCUAACCUGUAACUCCAAACUCUAACUUCAAACCCUAAACCUAACCCUAACACCUAACCCCAACCAAAAAAUCCUAACCCUAAACUCUAACCCCAAACCCUAACAACCCUAACCCUAACAUCCCUAACCCCAAACCCUAACCGUUUUUGUUAGCAGCCGUAGCACAUAACCACUAGCCACCAGGGUUUCCACGAGCAGUCACAGGAAUAGACAUAUGCACACCCGUGUUCACUGCAACAUUAUUCACAGUAGCAAAAAGAUGGGAACAACCUAAGUGCUCGUCCACAGAGGAAUGGAUAAACAAACUACGGUACAUACACACAGUGGAACACUACACGACAAUAAAGACCAAUGAUGAAUCUCCGAAACAUCUCACACCAUGGAUGAAUCUGGGGCGCAUCACACUGACUAAGUCAAUCACAAAAUGACAUAUACAGUGAGAGACCACUAUCAUAAAAACUCAUGAAAACAUUUACGCACAGAAACAAUCCUUGAUGUUCACCAGGGAGACGAAGAGUGGGUAGAGAAAAGCCAACUAAACAAUAACCAAAAAAACCAAACCCACUGCUGUCGAGUCAAUUCCAGCUCAUAGCGAUCCUACAGGACAGAUUAGAACUGCCCCAUAGAGUUUCCAAGGAGUGCCUGGUGGAUUCGAACUGCAGACCUUUGGUUAGCACCGAUGGCUCUUAACCGCUACGCCACCAGGGUUUCCAACCAAACAACAGAUCGGUGGUAACUCUGGCGAAGGAAAGACGGUACACAAGACUGGGGAAUCAACCUCAGCCUCACUCUAACCCUAACCCUAAACCACUUGUGCCCGAGCCUAGUAACCCCAGCCCUAACCCCAACCCCCAACCACCUAAAACCUAUACCCCUAAACCUAACUCCCAAACCUCUAACCCCCAAACCCUAACCCCUAACCCUAAUCCUCUAACCCUUCUGCAUCUCUGGGCCUCUCGACUCUCCGUCUAUUUUCUCCCUCGAAAUCGUACUAACACUCAGUGGAAUUUUGAA